UACGUAGGGUGCAAGCGUUGUCCGGAAUUAUUGGGCGUAAAGGGCUCGUAGGCGGUUUGUCGCGUCGGGAGUGAAAACCUCGGGCUCAACUCCGGGCCUGCAGUCGAUACGGGCUGGCUUGAGUGCGGUAGGGGAGACUGGAAUUCCUGGUGUAGCGGUGAAAUGCGUAGAUAUCUGGAGGAACACCGGUGGCGAAGGCGGCAUCCUGGACCAUGACUGACGCUGAGGAGCGAAAGCCAGGGGAGCAAAGCGGG
rnacentral:rRNA from 1 species